UCCUCUAACUACAAAGCUACAGCAACAGUUAGCUAGUAUUGGCAUCACUGAACUAACAUGUGGUGAAGAUAAAUAUGAUCUAAGAGAGUUCUCAAUAGAAGAGGAUAAGCAUUCAUCCACUGAUAUUGAUAUAUGUGAUCCAUUAUGGUAUGAGAAUACCAGUACACCACUACAUGAAGCAGCUUGGAGAGGAUUAAAAGAUGAAGUACAAUGGCUUCUUGACAAGUUUGGUUACAGCACAUAUCAUCGUGGUCUUCAUGGUUGGACUCCAUUACACUCUGCAUCAUAUGGUGGACACAUUGAGAUCCUUCAACUACUCAUCCAUCAAUAUGGUAUUGAU